rnacentral:rRNA from 1 species
ACUCAAGCUAAUAAGGGCUAACGGCGGAUACCUAGGCACACAGAGG